AGUGAACGCUGGCGGUAGGCCUAACACAUGCAAGUCGAACGGCAGCACAGGAGAGCUUGCUCUCUGGGUGGCGAGUGGCGGACGGGUGAGGAAUACAUCGGAAUCUACUCUGUCGUGGGGGAGAACGUAGGGAAACUUACGCUAAUACCGCAUACGACCUACGGGUGAAAGCAGGGGAUCUUCGGACCUUGCGCGAUUGAAUGAGCCGAUGUCGGAUUAGCUAGUUGGCGGGGUAAAGGCCCAGCAAGGCGACGAUCCGUAGCUGGUCUGAGAGGAUGAUCAGCCACACUGGAACUGAGACACGGUCCAGACUCCUACGGGAGGCAGCAGUGGGGAAUAUUGGACAAUGGGCGCAAGCCUGAUCCAGCCAUACCGCGUGGGUGAAGAAGGCCUUCGGGUUGUAAAGCCCUUUUGUUGGGAAAGAAAUCCAGCUGGCUAAUACCCGGUUGGGAUGACGGUACCCAAAGAAUAAGCACCGGCUAACUUCGUGCCAGCAGCCGCCGUAA
rnacentral:rRNA from 1 species